rnacentral:rRNA from 1 species
UACGGAGGGGGCUAGCGUUGUUCGGAAUUACUGGGCGUAAAGCGCACGUAGGCGGCUUUGUAAGUUAGAGGUGAAAGCCUGGUGCUCAACACCAGAACUGCCUUUAAGACUGCAUCGCUUGAAUCAUGGAGAGGCGGGUGGAAUUCCGAGUGUAGAGGUGAAAUUCGUAGAUAUUCGGAAGAACACCAGUGGCGAAGGCGACUUACUGGACACAUAUUGACGCUGAGGUGCGAAAGCGUGGGGAGCAAACAGG